ACCUGACUUCAUCCACGGCGCCUACCCGGCGGCUGUACUGACCCGCGAGGCCGCGGGGCCCCGGCCGCUCCCGAUGCGACAGCAUCGGAGCCACCUGGCCGGGCUGUGCGCAGAGUGAGUUAAGGUGUGUGAAGCGAGAGCUUCCGGGGUCCCUGCAUAGACCUUCCCUCCACGUCCGGACCCGGGCCUGUGCCUCGGGUCCCACACCGCUGGCCGUACAGCCUUCUUUGUGCGUGCUGGGCUCCUGCCCUGGUCCUGUGCUGUCAUUCCACUAUUCCCAGGCUUCUGCCAUGUUCUGCCAGCCAGCCUGUGCCUGGCGAAGGGAGGGCCCUCUACACAGGUGCUGAUUACCUGACCGAGCGACAGCCCGUGUCCUCCGGGAGAUCUGCGCCUCCUGAACGGAUGUCCGCAAGGAAAGAUAUUUAUUGAAUGUCUGUCAUGUGCCAAUUCUGGGCACUGGGGAUGUAGCAGUGAACAAAACAAUCAACUCCCUGCCCUCAUGGAGCCUACAUUCCAGUAGAAGACAGACAACAAGUGGGUUUCAUCAGCCACCGGUGCCAGAGCCGGACACUGCAUCCUCCACGCCUGUUUACAUGGCUCCCGGGGAAACAGUGACUCAUGCCUGCCACCCAGAGGCUGUUCUCCUAAUUGCAGCCCACACCGUACCUCCCAGACUUCACUGUAUCUUCUGGGCACACACCAAGGACUGAACCUGCUGAGCAGCCCGGAAGAGCCCCCAGAGAACUGAGGGUGAAGGGCUGGUUCUAAGAAUGCUUGGCAGCUGGCCUGUCUUCACUGAAGGGUUGUGGUGCGGGGGCCCCCCAUCUGGGUUCCUAUUCCGGCUCUGUCGUCUGACUAGAUAACUCACUAUUGAACUUGAGCAAGACACAUGCCUGUAUAAAAACCCUUAAACUGGGUGGUUUCUCAUGUUCCCUUCUUGCUUAAAGAGUUUUUGAAAUAGUUUUAAAGAUUUUUGAAAAAGUUUUGAAAGUUUUAAAGAGUUUGUGAAAUCUCUGCAUGAAAUGGCGUUUCCACAUCACCCCAAAUCCCUUUCAGAUUCCUGCUUUCCCCAAACAUUCCUCCUGGCACCCAGGCACUGCCCCAUGCCCUCUGGCCCUGCCUUUCCUCCCAGUGCCCCAGGAUUCUGAACCUUUUUCUCUUCUUUUGCUCUCAUCAGAACUUCCCUCUCUGGUUCCACCAACUGAUGAGUGCUGAUGAAGGGUCAUUUUCUUCCACAUCUCUGAACCUCAACUUUUAAAUCUCUACAACAGAGAUAAUAUUUAUUUAUCUUAAAUGUUAUUAUGCAGAUUACAAAAAGUGUAUGCAAACCUUCUGGUGCACUAUCUGAGGUAUUUGAUAAACGGCAAACAUUAUUUUUAAAUGGACUCAGCUUAGACAUCAUUUUAUCUUUAAAACCUUUGGUUCCCACCAAGGGUGUUAAAUGUUCUUCAUCUGUGCUUCAAAGCCCAUGGGAAUAAUAGACCCCUGUGGUGGGCAGAAUAAUCCCUUCACUCCACAAAGAUGCCCAUGUCCUAAUCCCUGUAUCACAUGAGUACAUGACGUUACAUGGCAAGAGGGAAUUAAGGCUGCAGAUAGAAUUAAGGUUGUUGAUCAUCUCACCUUGAUUAUCAAGGGAUAUCCUGGCUAUUACCUUGGGGACACUGUCCUGGAUUAUCUGGAUGGCCCAGCGUAAUCACAAAUCUCCUUAGGAGGAGGAAAGCAGGAGAGGCACAGAGUUAGAUGUACGAUGGAAGCAGAGGCCCGAGUGAUACCAGUGCUGGCUUGGAAGAGAGAAGGCAGCCAGGAGCCAAGAAAUAAGACCAGCGUCUAGAAGCUGGAGAAGACAAGAAAACGGGCUUCCCCUAGAACCUCUAGAAAGGCCUACAGCCCUGCUGAUGCCUUGAUUUGAGCCCAGUGGGACCCAUUUCAGACUUCUGAUCUCUGGAACUGUAAGAUGAUAAGAUUGUGUUCCUAUAAGCCAAUAAUUUUGUGGUAAUUUGAUACAGCUACUAUUGGAAAUUUACACAACCCUCAGAUACAUUCAAUUUGCACAAUAAUCCAUUUAGUUGUCACUAUUCCUACUUUACAAUUGAGGAAACUGCAGCUUAGAGAAGUUAAGUAAAUUGUACAGCAGCUAUCAGACCUUUUGAUGCAAGUUAUAAAAAAAACAAUAACAAAUUGGCUUAAAUUAUGAAGGGGAUUUGUUGACACACAUAACUGAAGAAAAAUUACAGAGAAGUCAUGGAGAACAGGCAAGGCUUGAUCCACAAGCUAAAUGGAUGGCAUCAAGAAUGCAGUAUUUAUUUAUUCUCUCUGUUUUCUAACAGCUGUGGCUUUAUUCUCAGGUUCCCCAAGGUGGAUCCCACAGCUCCAGGUUCACCACAGUGGUGGUAAAAAUAGCUCCAACCUUUCCAGAUGUCACAACCUUUCUCCCCACAACUUUUAGAGAAGAAAGAAAGUUUCCUUUGUCAGAAAGCCUAGCAAAAGUCUUGUAAUUCGUUGCUUCUACUUAUGUAAAUCCCCAAUUCCUGAGCCAAAUAGGUACUGAGUCCAAUGGUGGACUUGUGAAGGGUGGGUAAGGAAGGGUCGAACUGCCUAAAGGAAAAUCAGAGUAGUUGGGGAAGGAGACACAAGAAAGGGUCAUCGAAUGUCCACAACGCUGGCUGGAAAAGGUCCUGAUGACAAAGUUGCUGCGUUCAAAUACUACUGCCUCCCAGGAACAUUGUUUUCUGGCUCUCUGGAUACAUUGUCACUGUCUAUUUUAUUCUCAGUGGUCUAUCGGGACUAAGACAUAAACCUGGAGCCAACCUAAUCUUUGUGUCCCCAGCAUCUAGCCUCUGGCCUGGCUGAGAUCAGCCAUCAGAGAAUCUUUUGUUAAAUGGGGCUGCUCUUCCCAUGCAAGUGAGAUUCAGAAAGCUCCUGAAAUGGCCCCCGCACCCGCCACCACCUUUCUGUGAUUCUGUGAGAGAGCUGCCCCAUGUUUCUGAGAAAAUAGAAGUUCUUCAGCUGAUACAAGAAGAGGCUUGUAUGUGAGCCUGUUUGAGUUGGAUGUUUCUUGCAGCAAGAAACACACUGAUACUCAUGUCUUAUGGGGUGUUUGAGGGUUUAAAUGCGAAUGCAUGUAAAGUGCUUAAAAAGAUUUAAUAGGAGUGAGCUAUUAUUAUUUUAUUAACACUUAAAAUGUCAUCAUUUAUUUAUGAGCUCCUCAAGGGCAAGCCCUUUCCCCUUCACUAUUCUGGAAUGUAACAGAUGAUACCUCAGUGAUCGUUGAACCAAAUUAAA